CCCUUAGAUGUUUUGGGCCGCACGCGCGCUACACUGAUGCAUUCAACAAGCCUAGCCUUGACCGAGAGGUCCGGGUAAUCUUUGAAACUGCAUCGUGAUGGGGCUAGAUUAUUGCAAUUAUUAAUCUUCAACGAGGAAUGCCUAGUAAGCGUGAUUCAUCAAAUCGCGUUGAUUACGUCCCUGCCCUUUGUACACACCGCCCGUCGCUCCUACCGAUUGAAUGUGUUGGUGAGGAGCUCGGAUUGGCAGCAGUUGGUGGUUCGCCACCGGCUAUUGCUGAGAAGUCCUCCAAACCGCCCCAUUUAGAGGAAGGAGAANUCGUANCA
rnacentral:rRNA from 1 species